GGCAGCGUGGCGGAAUGGAGACGCACCGGGCCAAACCCGGAGGUUGCAGGUAAACCCCUGCCGCUGCCA
rnacentral:tRNA from 1 species